rnacentral:rRNA from 1 species
UACGUAGGGGGCAAGCGUUGUCCGGAUUUAUUGGGCGUAAAGAGCGUGUAGGCGGCCAAGCAGGUCCGCUGUGAAAACUCGAGGCUCAACCUCGAGACGUCGGUGGAAACCGUUUGGCUAGAGUCCGGAAGAGGAGAGUGGAAUUCCCGGUGUAGCGGUGAAAAUGCGCAGAUAUCGGGAAGAACACCCGUGGCGAAGGCGGCUCUCUGGGACGGUACUGACGCUGAGACGCGAAAAGCGUGGGGAGCGAACAGG